rnacentral:rRNA from 1 species
UACGUAGGGUGCAAGCGUUAAUCGGAAUUACUGGGCGUAAAGCGUGCGCAGGCGGUUAUGUAAGACAGUUGUGAAAUCCCCGGGCUCAACCUGGGAACUGCAUCUGUGACUGCAUCGCUGGAGUGCGGCAGAGGGGGAUGGAAUUCCGCGUGUAGCAGUGAAAUGCGUAGAGAUGUGGAGGAACACCGAUGGCGAAGGCAGCCCCCUGGGUCAAGAUUGACGCUCAUGCACGAAAGCGUGGGGAGCAAACAGG